CCAUAUUUGUUUUCGAACAAUCGAAUGUGCACUAUUUUGAGGUUCCCUGUUGGACUCGGUGGAAGCCUGUUGAAUUUGAAGAAGAGCCUCAGAGCUCAGAUAAAUCUUGAUAGGCUAAAUUAAACCUUACCUAUUGAAACGCAGUGCUAUAAGCGAAAGCAGAGAGCACGUCGCACUUUACUCUACUCAAUACUCAAUACAAUCGAAUGUUGUUUCGACAAGUCAACAAGAUUUCAUAACUACAAAAAAUAUUGUUGAAACUCCCAAAUUUGCUACAAUCAGACAAAAGGUCGAAAGAAAAAGUUAAACAUGAGCUACAAAUGUUGGAGGAAAAUACUACCAUUGAGGAGACAAUUCCACAAACGACUGAGCCAUCAAAAUUGAUAGCGAUUGGCACUGAAGAGAGUGCAUGUUUCUACUAAGUGUUUAGCAUUUACAACGAAUAAGGCUGUCAAAGUUGUAACUUUAACUAUGGAGACUUACUGGAGUUUUAACAUAGAAUUUUCCUCUUUCUUGUUACUAAGCAGUGUGUUGCUGACAGAAAAGAUUCAUGUUGAAAAUUUUUAAAUAUGAGGUGCAGUUGUUGAAUUACUUAAACAACUAAAAUUAUAUGCAAAUUUCGAAAAAAAUAAAUUAAAUGUGACAUUUUAUAAUUCGUUCUUCUAUGUAUGUCCUUGAUCUUGUAUAUCAUUUUUAUUAAAAUAAAAUCCCUAAAUGUACUUUUUCUCUAUUUUCCACCCUGUAUGAAAUACUUUAUAAAUGGUGUGACUAAAGUUAACUAAUGAUUCUUUAAUAAUAGGUUGAUGCUUUCCAUUGUAUUUCUUGUUUAUUGUUUUUGAAUUUUUUUUGGAUGAAGAUGCAAAUAAUCAAGGAUAAUAAAAUAAAAAU